rnacentral:rRNA from 1 species
UACGGAGGGGGCGAGCGUUAUUCGGAAUUAUUGGGCGUAAAGGGCGCGUAGGCGGCUUGAUGUGUCAAAGGUGAAAUCCCUCGGCUCAACUGAGGAACUGCCUUUGAAACUGUCUGGCUUGAGGCCGGGAGAGGGUAGCGGAAUUCCCAGUGUAGCGGUGAAAUGCGUAGAUAUCAGGAGGAACACCGGUGGCGAAGGCGGCUAUCUGGACAGAGUCUGACGCUGAGGCGCGAAAGCUAGGGGAGCAAACAGG